rnacentral:rRNA from 1 species
UACGGAGGGUGCAAGCGUUAAUCGGAAUUACUGGGCGUAAAGCGCGCGUAGGCGGUUUGUUAAGCUAGAUGUGAAAGCCCUGGGCUCAACCUGGGAACUGCAUUUAGAACUGGCAGGCUAGAGUACAAGAGAGGGUGGUGGAAUUUCCAGUGUAGCGGUGAAAUGCGUAGAUAUUGGAAGGAACAUCAGUGGCGAAGGCGGCCACCUGGAUUGAUACUGACGCUGAGGUGCGAAAGCGUGGGGAGCGAACAGG